CCUACGGGAGGCUGCAGUGGGGAAUAUUGCGCAAUGGGCGAAAGCCUGACGCAGCGACGCCGCGUGAGGGAUGAAGGUCUUCGGAUCGUAAACCUCUGUCAGCAGGGAAGAACGGUCACUGUGCUAAUCAGCAGUGAAUUGACGGUACCUGCCAAGGAAGCACCGGCUAACUCCGUGCCAGCAGCCGCGGUAAUACGGAGGGUGCGAGCGUUAAUCGGAAUUACUGGGCGUAAAGCGCUCGUAGGCGGUAUGUCAAGUCAAGGGUGAAAGCCCCGGGCUCAACGGGGGAACUGCCUUUGAAACUGGCAAACUGGAGUGUGGGAGAGGAUAGUGGAAUUCCAGGUGUAGGAGUGAAAUCCGUAGAUAUCUGGAGGAACAUCAGUGGCGAAGGCGACUAUCUGGCACAUAACUGACGCUGAGGUGCGAAAGCGUGGGUAGCAAACAGGAUUAGAUACCCGAGUAGUC
rnacentral:rRNA from 1 species